ACCUCACACGAACGAUGCCUCCUCGCCCUCGGCGAAGAACUUGCCCGUCGGCCCGCCCUCCGGCAGCAGCGCCACCUUCACCACGUUACGCGCGCCCUCCUCGGGCGUCAAGAUGCCCGAGUUCAUGGUUAUGUCCGUCUUGACGUAGCCUGGAUGCGUGCAGUUGACGCGCAGUGCGGGGUACCUCCUCGCUAGCAACCUGGAGUAGGCGUUCAUGGCGGCCUUGGCCACCUUGUACGCCGAGUACCCCAUGGGCCACCCGCGCGCCUCCAGCGCGUCGGCCUCGAAGUCCCUGAGAGCAACUCCAAUGGGGCGACCCAUUUCGUCCGCGGCCGUCUGUUUGGGUCGGCGCAGACAGAAAAGGCGGCCCAACGCGCCGACCCAAACGGACGCGCGUCCGUUUUUCGUCCGUGGGCGACCCAUUCCCGGCCCAUUUUUUAG
rnacentral:rRNA from 1 species